GUGUUGGUGGUUCAGCUGUAGAAUUCUCACCUUCAAAGCAGGAGACCCAGAUUCGAUUCCCGGCCAGUGCA
rnacentral:tRNA from 1 species